GACGUAGGGUGCAAGCGUUGUCCGGAUUUAUUGGGCGUAAAGAGCUCGUAGGCGGCUUGUUGCGUCGACUGUGAAAACCCGCGGCUUAACCGCGGGCUUGCAGUUGAUACGGGCAGGCUAGAGUUCGGUAGGGGAGACUGGAAUUCCUGGUGUAGCGGUGAAAUGCGCAGAUAUCAGGAGGAACACCGGUGGCGAAGGCGGGUCUCUGGGCCGAUAUUGACGCUGAGGAGCGAAAGCGUGGGGAGCAAACAGG
rnacentral:rRNA from 1 species